CACUGGCCCUACUCACCACGUGUGCUUCCUCACGAUCACCCCGCUUCUCCACAUCCCCGCCGAGGGCAGCCAGGAUGAUGCCACUGCUGUUCGUGGUGGCAAAUGUUACCAGCCAUUCUGAUUCUGGUGACAAAGAUUUGGGUGGCAAUUCAAUGUAGCCGCCUUUCAGGAAGCUAACACUCCGGAUGGGCUGGACACAGAGGAGAUGGAACAGCAUGGGCCCUGCAACAGCACCCCCCUGCUGGCCUCCUGGCUUCCAGUCUUGCCUACUGCCCGAAAUCUUCAAGAGUGUCUCUUCCGAAACAGAAAUUUCAUCAUGUUGUGUCCCUGCUUAAAACAUCUGAGAUGAGCUAAACUGUAUCUGAAGAUAUGUCUACUCCGUAAAUAUUAUCCCAUUUUGUAAAUUAAAAAAAUCCCAACAAACCAUAAUAUUAUAGAAAAGUGAAAACAUACACUUAAAGCUGCUCAAAAGUGAUUACCUCUGAAGGAUUUUAAAAAGAAGAAUUUUGCUUUGUGCCUGAAUUUUAAGAAAAUGCACCCCCCACUUGCAUCCUUAUUUUCUGUCCUUGACUUAAGUGCAAUGUGCUGCCAGCCACAUGCAAUGUCUACCAUGCCACACCUUACACCUCUCUCCUGAGGAAUUUUACCAGGUUGGCUGCCUUACACGUAGACUUUCUAAAAGUAACAUUCUUUACUUUUUAACUUUAUUAGAGGCAGGGUCUUGCUCUGUCGCCCAGACUGGAACGCAGUGGUGUGAUCAUUGCUCACUGCAGCCUUGACCUCCUGUGCUCCAGUGAUUCCCUGCCUGAACCUCCCGAGUGGCUAGGACUACAGGCACACACCACUGUGCUUGGAUAAAUUUUUAACUUUUUUUUAGAGACAGAGUCUCACUAUGUUGCCCAGGCUAACCUCAAACUCCUUCUUGCUCAAACAAUCCUCCCACCUCGGCCUCCCAAAGCACUGGGAUUACAGGAGUGAG
rnacentral:lncRNA from 1 species